rnacentral:tmRNA from 1 species
GGGGGUGUACCGGUUUCGACGGGGGUAUGGAGACGGGACCAGCGGGCGGAUGCGCCCAGCAUCCUGAAAAUGGGCAAUUUAUAAAUUAAACAACAACAGACAAGUUGCUGUCGCUGCCUAAUUAAGGCGGCCGUCUGAACCGGAGAGGCCACAGGCCGGGGAAGGCGUCGUUGAUGUGGCGUCCGUGAGGCGGGAAAGAGUUGACCUGCCCACGCAUCAUGACUCUACCAAACCGCAAAGUCUGUCAGGUGUCUUUGCGGGGCGGGAAUUCUGAAACCUGACUGCGCCCGGAGAAAGUCCCGUGAAACUGUUUUCGGACAGGGGUUCAAUUCCCCUCGGCUCCACCA